rnacentral:rRNA from 1 species
GACGUAGGGCGCGAGCGUUGUCCGGAUUUAUUGGGCGUAAAGAGCUCGUAGGCGGCUUGUCGCGUCGUCUGUGAAAUCCCGCGGCUCAACCGCGGGUCUGCAGUCGAUACGGGCAGGCUAGAGUUCGGUAGGGGAGACUGGAAUUCCUGGUGUAGCGGUGAAAUGCGCAGAUAUCAGGAGGAACACCGGUGGCGAAGGCGGGUCUCUGGGCAAUUCCUGACGCUGAGGCGCGAAAGCGUGGGGAGCAAACGGG